GUGGAUAACCUGCCUCAAGGCUGGGGAUAACAUUUGGAAACAGAUGCUAAUACCGAAUAAAACUUAGUAUCGCAUGAUAUCAAGUUAAAAGGCGCUACGGCGUCACCUAGAGAUGGAUCCGCGGUGCAUUAGUUAGUUGGUGGGGUAAAGGCUUACCAAGACGAUGAUGCAUAGCCGAGUUGAGAGACUGAUCGGCCACAUUGGGACUGAGACACGGCCCAAACUCCUACGGGAGGCUGCAGUAGGGAAUCUUCCACAAUGGGCGCAAGCCUGAUGGAGCAACGCCGCGUGUGUGAUGAAGGCUUUCGGGUCGUAAAGCACUGUUGUAUGGGAAGAAAUGCUAAAAUAGGGAAUGAUUUUAGUUUGACGGUACCAUACCAGAAAGGGACGGCUAAAUACGUGCCAGCAGCCGCGGUAAUACGUAUGUCCCGAGCGUUAUCCGGAUUUAUUGGGCGUAAAGCGAGCGCAGACGGUUGAUUAAGUCUGAUGUGAAAGCCCGGAGCUCAACUCCGGAAUGGCAUUGGAAACUGGUUAACUUGAGUGUUGUAGAGGUAAGUGGAACUCCAUGUGUAGCGGUGGAAUGCGUAGAUAUAUGGAAGAACACCAGUGGCGAAGGCGGCUUACUGGACAACAACUGACGUUGAGGCUCGAAAGUGUGGGUAGCAAACAGGAUUAGAUACCCUGGUAGUCCACACCGUAAACGAUGAAUACUAGGUGUUAGGAGGUUUCCGCCUCUUAGUGCCGAAGCUAACGCAUUAAGUAUUCCGCCUGGGGAGUACGACCGCAAGGUUGAAACUCAAAGGAAUUGACGGGGACCCGCACAAGCGGUGGAGCAUGUGGUUUAAUUCGAAGCAACGCGAAGAACCUUACCAGGUCUUGACAUCCUUUGAAGCUUUUAGAGAUAGAAGUGUUCUCUUCGGAGACAAAGUGACAGGUGGUGCAUGGUCGUCGUCAGCUCGUGUCGUGAGAUGUUGGGUUAAGUCCCGCAACGAGCGCAACCCUUAUUGUUAGUUGCCAGCAUUCAGUUGGGCACUCUAGCGAGACUGCCGGUGACAAACCGGAGGAAGGCGGGGACGACGUCAGAUCAUCAUGCCCCUUAUGACCUGGGCUACACACGUGCUACAAUGGCGUAUACAACGAGUUGCCAACCUGCGAAGGUGAGCUAAUCUCUUAAAGUACGUCUCAGUUCGGACUGCAGUCUGCAACUCGACUGCACGAAGUCGGAAUCGCUAGUAAUCGCGGAUCAGCACGCCGCGGUGAAUACGUUCCCGGGUCUUGUACACACCGCCCGUCACACCAUGGGAGUUUGUAAUGCCCAAAG
rnacentral:rRNA from 1 species